GACGAACGCUGGCGGCGUGCUUAACACAUGCAAGUCGAACGGAAAGGCCCUGCUUUUGUGGGGUGCUCGAGUGGCGAACGGGUGAGUAACACGUGAGUAACCUGCCCUUGACUUUGGGAUAACUUCAGGAAACUGGGGCUAAUACCGGAUAGGAGCUCCUGCUGCAUGGUGGGGGUUGGAAAGUUUCGGCGGUUGGGGAUGGACUCGCGGCUUAUCAGCUUGUUGGGGGGGUAGUGGCUUACCAAGGCUUUGACGGGUAGCCGGCCUGAGAGGGUGACCGGCCACAUUGGGACUGAGAGACGGCGCAGACUCCUACGGGAGGCAGCAGUGGGGAAUAUUGCACAAUGGGCGGAAGCCUGAUGCAGAAACGCCGCGUGCGGGAUGACGGCCUUCGGGUUGUAAACCGCUUUCGCCUGUGACGAAGCGUGAGUGACGGUAAUGGGUAAAGAAGCACCGGCUAACUACGUG
rnacentral:rRNA from 1 species